CUACUUUUUUCCUAAUGGUAUUUUGAGUACAUUUACGUCAACUUGGUAACAUGCAGUGGAAGUUCUCUGUGGUAGUCAUGGGUAUCAGUGCUUCCAGGCCAAAGUAGUUGACGACGAUGACGACGCUAGUACAAAUGCAAAACUCUAGGGUUGAAACGGGACGGAGAGUAGAUCUUCAUACUUUAAUCUUCUAGACAGGGUAUCGUGUGUGGAUGUGUGUCCCAAGCAGAACGGCAUCGGGCGGCGCUUCACAUGUUCGUAUACUCCAGCGCUGACGUAGUAUACGUAGUACAGGAACUAACUUUCCGUUUAGUUGUGUUCUUACGGCACACGCUUCAGUAAAUGGGUCCAUUUGAAAGCAGAAGUCGGCUGUGGCAGACGGGGUGUGUGUGUGUGUGUGUGUGUGUGUGUGUGUGUGUGUGUGUGUGUGUGUGCUCACUAACUUCUAGCGUUUCAGGUCACACAAUAUUGUUUGUAAUUGUCUCUCCUUGGUCCGACUUUCCCCUCGGCUUCCCGUCCGGUUCGCACUCUCACUCCUCGUUUGGUUCCAGGACAUGUGAUGAUGAUGAUGAUGAUGAUGAUGAUGUAACAGAACGACAGACGGAUAUCUCGGAUCUUUAUCCACAGUGUCUGAGUCCAGGGUUUUCCUGCUACGAGCCCUCGAGUGUGCCUGCAGGAUUGUGGCCUCCACUAAUGCACAGAUCACACGUGUGAGAGUGAAGGAUCAUGGGAAAUGAAUGAACAUGCAUGAAAUCACUGACUUAAUGGACGCUGUCUCUUAGUCAUACUUUGCACCAGAACACUGCUAGUAAAGCCACAGUGGAGAUGAGUCAUAGUAAAUAAAACACCAGCUGAACAUUUAGUACCAUAAUCAUCAUAGUCUCUGACAGGGAGCAGAUCACCCUGAUCAUAAGAAAUGGCCAAUGUUUGAUAUCCACCGGGCUUAAAGUUCUCCAGCGUGCAGCAUUUAAAAAUCCUACAUUUAAAAAAACAAAAAUCUUGUUGAUUGAUUUCACGUUCGAGUCCAGGAGUUCUCCUACUAAUGGUUUGAGAGGAGCAGCGUUCACACUCGACCAAACUAACCCUUCCAGCCAAUCAGAAUGUUUCGCUCUUAUAAACAUGUGCAGAGUCUCUCACACACACUGCCACAUGCUCCUCUUCAUAGUUAUUUUUCUCGCUGACUGAUGAGCUUACGGACACUGAAGGGUUAUUCUGAGGUACGUGAACUGAGGUGCUAAGCGAUCGCCUCUGCCGUACUAGUAAUGAUUGUAAAUGAGAAUUGUUAACGAGGUUGCCAAUGUCCACACAGCUGACAGCUUUACCUGCUGUAGUUAAAGUUGAGCACAAAAUCCACACGGUUUCGGUCACUGCGCGUCUCUACUGUAAUCACCUAGUUUAAUAAUGAGCUUCUGCAGGAUGACUUCACAAUCUUUAUCAGAGACAGUCUGAUGAUUACUGCACAGACUUCUCCAAACUUAAUGGAGCUUGUAGUUUUAAUCCAACGUACCGUCCGUCAGCGCUCGUUUAAAUCGUGACUGCGAUGCUGCACUGUGUGCGGGACCUGAUGAACAAGAGCAGAAUUAACAUAUUUAUUCAUUUGUAUUACAUUUAAGUCAUUAUUCUGUCAUCGUUCAUUGACAGUCAUUUCACUGUAUGUCAUUCAUUUAUUCCAAAAUUCUUAAUUUUCAGUGUCACGCUGUCAACACGUUAUAGUUUGGUAGUGCGUGUACGUGCUCUGGUACAGUAGACAUAGAUAAGCUGUUCAGAAGUAGAUGCCUCAUUAGUGGCUGUCUCUAUGGGCUGUGAGCAUCUCCUGGUAUAUAUCUGUGUCUGUCAGAGCGUGUACACGCGUCACGCGCCGGGUGUUGUGAACGCACUCAGGACAGUUGGACAUUGCUUGAAUCAGAGGUAAAAAACGAUAUAAAGACUGUUCAGUCUCCUGCACAGACUGAUGGUUUUGUGUCUUUACACAUCAGUGUGUCGUCACGAGCCGCAGGGUUUAAUUUGGUUUUGUUUGUUUAUGUUUUUUUGACUCUCAAAGCUGUGAUUCCCAUCCACUCACAUUAUAAGACUGACAGACUGUUUGUGUUCUGCUGAAGAAACAGUCACCUACAUCUCGGAUGCUCUGGGGGUAAGCUGAUAAACAUCACAUUCUCAUUUUUGGGUGAACUAUCUCUUUAAGAACACACAGGGCCCUGGGGCUGUAGCAAACCCAGAGGCCCCCUUCAAAGGAGCCUAUCUUGGUACCACGGUUUCUACAACAUGAAUUUUUUAAUUAUUAUUUUUAAUCAAAUCACACAGAGAUGCAAUGAGUUUACACACUAAAUAUUCCAGGCUAAAACACAUUAAAAUAAAAAUUAAUUAACAUCAAAAAUAUGAAGUCAAAGCAGACAGGUUUGCAGAAGUAUAUACAGCUCCCUUGAGGAGUUUACUUUAAAUAGUUUUAUUAUUAGAAGGUCCUCUUUCUGGCCCUAGAAGAGGACCAUCAUCAGCGCUGGACUGGGGCACACACUGGGGUUAGGGCAAUUGGAAUAAAUUAAUUAUAUUAUAUAUUAUAUAUAAUUAAUAUAAUGGAUGAAAAUAUACAUUUUUAACAAUAUUAAUAUUUCAUUAUAUUGCAGGCUCUUAAUUACUGAAUUCAUAUUUUUCUGCAGUUAAUGUUUAUUUAGAACUAUUAAAUUCUCUGUACUUGCCCUAAUUAAAAGCUAAUUAUUGAAUCCAGAAGUAAUGUAUGCUAUUAGUAAACUUUUUAAAAAGUGACCUUUAUUUUACCCAAAUAUUUAAUAGACCAUAAGUAGCUUGUAAUAAAUUUCAGCUGACCUCGACACUUUAGUUUACAGGGUCGGUGCUAUUCAAUCUGGUUUUCACUAACUACAACACAGAGACUUUACUCUUCACAUCUGUGUCCCUGCAGCACAGAAGCAGUCAUCAGUAGCACAGGUAUAUUUGUAGCAAUAGACAACAAUACAUUGUAUGAGUCACAAUUAUACAUUUCUCUUUUAUGACAAAAAUCAUUAGGAUAUUAAGAUAAGAUCAUGUUCCAUGAAAAUAUUUUGUACAUUUCCAGAGGUGGAAAGAGUACAAAAAUAUUCUACUCAAGUAAAAGUACCAUUACAUUAAUGAAAUUUUACUUAAGUACAAGUAAAAGUACCAGUCUAAAAAUCUACUCAAGUAAAAGUAAAAAGUAGCUCAUUUAAAAUUUACUCAGAGUAAAAAUUACUUAGUUACAUUUUAACAGUGGGAGGGAGGCA
rnacentral:lncRNA from 12 species